UAUAUGUAUAACUGAAUCACUUUGCUGUACAACAGAAAUUAACACAUUGUAAAUCAACUACUUCAGUAAAAUAUAUUUAAAAAUAACAGAUCAAAAACAUAUAUGUUUCCAUGGAGACAGUGAGGGGACUCCCCUUGGCUCCCCUGGCCCACUUCUCUCAUGUCUUUCCCCUCCGCCUAGUUACUGCCAUUUCCCCUGAUUACUAAAAUAUGAAAUAUUACAUAUUUUAUAAUAUUUUAUACCGAUAUAAGCUUCUUUUCUUAUACGGAAACCAAGAGGUAUCAUAAGCAAAGUUUAUAUUAUUUUCCCUGAAUAUAUUGCCUUACACUUGCCCACGCUAGAGCUCAUUUGCUAUUUCUCUACCCACUCAUGAAACCUCAUGAGAUUUUACUAUGGUUUAUCCCUGUCAGUUUGACAUUUCACUUCCAUCUUUAAUUCUGGAGAUCUCACUGUGUACCCUCUGAUCCAAGUCACUUAUAAAACUAUUAAAUAUAAACUCGUAACAUUUUUCCAUCUGGAGAAGCAAAUAUUUUCCUCUACUUUUUAUUUCUUAUUAAGCCAAUUCUUUAUCUACAGCAAAACAAAAUACUACCCCAACCUCACCCCCUGACUGGUGGUAAAUGACUGUUCACAGUUUUUCAUCAGCAUUCCUCAUCUUAAAAGUGGGGAGCAUCUUAUGGAAAUAGUGGAUUACGGAGCAAAACUGUCUGCGUGAGGAUCUACUAGUGGCCUGACCCAACUUCCCUGAGCUACAGUUUUCUCAUCUGUUCAAGUGAAAGCAACAUAUAAAUCCUUAGGAAGGAAGCCAUGAUCUUGUACAAUCAAGCAUACCAAAUGCCAAGCAGCAUAUCUGACAUAUGGUUCAGUCAAGCAGCAACAUCCCUUAACGUUCAGUGUUGAUAGAUAAUGAUGGUUCCUUUCGAUGUCAAAAAACAUGCAGGCCUCAUUCUCCACACAAGCAGUGGUCCCUUUUAGAGCCCGUGAAGUCUUUGAGAUGACAGAAGUAGGAUCCUGAGUGAUCACGGCUCUGAUUGUGUUGCCAUGAAGCUUUCUCAACUCCUUCUGAAUAAAGAUAGACUCUGGUGUGGCUUUGAGAAGCUUAGGAAAACAAGUUCUCCCAUCGCUGAGAGGCAAGGAACUGCCAUUAAUCAAUGCCUGGCUCUGCACAAGGUACUUAUAUCUAUAGCAUUAAAGUCAGGAUGUAAUUAGUUUUGAGAACUAUUCUAGAUAUGUUUAAUAACUAUCUCAGGAUAUGCUGGUGACAUCAUUUUUAGUAUCGAGUAUCUUUUUAAAGAGAAUUAAGUUUCCCCACUUCAUAGCUUUUUUUUUUCUCUCUCUCAUACUGGAAUUUAUCCUUUUUACAACUUUCCAAGUAUCAGGACCAAAUCUGAAUGUCAGACACUUUCAUGGACCACUGUAACUUGGGAAAAGAUGCCCAAGGACCUUGGUGCCUUUAGCAACACUGUCAGAUUGACGUGCAUUUGCAGAUUACAGUGGGGCUCAUAUCGGAACCCUAGUCACUGCAGACAGGAUUGUUAGGAGAAGCUUCUCUGAGGAGGUGGCAUCUGAGCUGAGACAGGAAGAAGCUGUUGUGGGAAGAUCAGAGCAGCAGCAAGUGUAGAGGUCUGGAGGUGAGAAGGGGCCUGCGAUGUUCAAAGCAGAAAAAGAGACCAGCAUAACGAGCAGGGGUCGGCUUUCAAGAGGCCGCCAGGCCCAGACACAGGAGGGCUUUGAAGUCCGGGUAAGAAGGCUGGCCUUGAUCGUGAGUGCCAUAUGGAUCUCGGAACAACCCAAGUAGGGAGGUGGCAUUGAUCUGAUCUCAGAUUUUACAAGAUGGCUCUAGCUGCCAGGAGGAGAGAGGCUGCGGGGGCCGGGGGAAAGCAGGAGGUCGGUCAGGAGGCGCCCACUCUUGUCCAGGUGAGAAAUGAUGGGGUGUGGCCUAGAGUGGGGCAGCUGGAGAGAGAGGCAGGCAGCCUGGGGGGCAGGUGCCAAGGUCUCUGUGCCCAUGUGGGCACCAUGAUGAGACCACAUGCAAGGCAACAGCUAGUCUCCAUGGGACGCUUGGGGUUGCAUACAUGGAAACACAGUCUCCUUUCAGCACAGCCAGGUUCUUCUUGAGAACCCCUGCCUUAAAACACUGCAGAGGGCCUGAGGGAGACACACAUACACCCCCACCUCUGCACCAUGAGGAGAAAUUUGAGAAGUACCACAUGGACUGUUUUCAUCUGCAGACUACUGGAGGUAAUUCUUUCACCUCAGUGCCUGAUGAAGCUUAAUUAGUGAAUGCUUACAGGGUGGUUAAAAGUGAAGAAUGUUUAAAUGUCAACGGUGACUUGGUCUAAUUGUAUUGUAAGCACUUUGCUCCAAAGCUUGCUGAGAAUUCCUCUUUCAACCGACAGCUAUUCUCCAGGGAUGGAAAGAAGGCAGAAGCAGCCUUUUCGAACCAGGCUCCAAAGUCCAUCCAUCACUUCACGCUGUUUUCCAGAAAGGAUACAGGAAUCAGGUCCCCUAGAGAGGUCCUUCAUUAUCUCCUAGAAAACAAAUGUCAGACGAUCAUUUUUAUGAGAAGAGGAGAUGCCUCUUCAAAUAGCACACUGUUCAGUAUCUUUAGAGAAAAGUCCUUUCCAGAGAACUGGCUACCUUGAAGCAUCAAAGCAGUUUUACUUCGACUGAUUCUGAUGGAUAGCUCUUUUAAAUGAAGGGCAUACUUCCCUACAUAGAGGGAGGCAUCUUUGGGUGUGACUUAACCUUUUCUCCACAUUCCAGGGUCACGAUUCAAACGAUGAGUAACAGCUUGUGACAUCAGUGAGUAGUUCCUAUAGGACCUGUUACCUUCCUCAGCAUCCUUUACUACUCAAUAGUCUGCCUCUUGUGGCCUUUUUGUGCGUUUUCUAUCUUUUCUCUCACAGCUGGGCCAUCCAUCGUCACACACGUAACUGUCGUCAUUUUUGCUCCAGUAAUUCCUCAUUUGUUAUUUUAAACCUGCUGCAGGCUGGACAGCUAGGUGGUAAAGCUGUGGGGAUUGUGUGUGACGUCAAGAGUGAGGGAUUCCAAGUGAGGGAUGAGGCGGCUCUAUUUUGCGUUAAAGUGCUUUGAGUUUUUAUGAUCUCUGGUAGGACCAGGUGGAAGGCUUGGGAACAUGGGUUUUUCUUUAUAAAUGAAAAAGAAAUGAAGAAGGGAUGCAUCUUUACCAGCCACUCCCAUGAAUUCAUUUCCUAUUGCUGCAGCUGCAAAUGACUAUAAGCUUCUUGGCUUAGAAGGACCCCACUGUAUCCCACAGUUCUGGAGACCAGAAGUCUGAAAGGGGUCUCCCUGGACUCAGGUCAAGGUGUCAGCAGGUCCGGAUCCUUCUGGAGGCUCUAGAGGAUGAUCUGUUGCCUUGCCCUUCCAGCUUCUAGAAGAUGCCACUUUCCUUGGCUCACGGCUUCCUUCCAUCUUUAAAGACAGCAGGGAAGCAUCUUCAAAUCUCUGCCUCUCACACUCUGCUUUUGUCAUCACUUCUCCUUCUCUGACCCUUUUAAGGACCACUGUGAAGACACUGGGCUCAUUCAGAUAAUCCAGAAUAUAAUCUCCCCAUCUCAGUGUCCUUUACCACAUCUGCCCUGUGAGGUAACACAGUCACAGGUCAUAGAGGGAAUUAGGGAUAUGCAGAUCUUGGGGGGCAGGGGGCAUUAUUCUGCCCAACACGCUUGCCAAAUGUGAGUCUCUUUCAUAUCGGGUUGGACACGGGAACAGGCAGCUGUUUAUUUUUAAUUACCAAAUUUCUUAGGGCUCAAGGGGAGCUAAAAAUCCAAACCACUUAAGGAAACUAGGUUUAUUUCUCUUGUGUUUAAGUCAGGAUAUAAGGACUCACCUCCACAUCCAGUCAGGGCUAGAGAUGAACCUCUACUUCCUGUCAUGGCUGGGGGCUCACCUCCACUUGCUGUCAGGUACAGAGACUGUGCUUUCGUACCUCUAGUCCAUCCUUAGUGUUCCAUUCAGGAAGGCUUGUUGUCUGCAUACGAGUGGCCACAAUGCUGUUUGGAGUGGAUCCCAGAAGCAAACCCUUGACUGCACUGCAGACAGAACUGGGUGCUGGCCUGUGCUCCUUCCUUUAGAUGGUGGGCUGGCUUGCAGCCCCUGCCUCCUACAUGCGAAAUGUACCUGGCUCCAUGUUACACAUACAUGUGUGCACAGCUAGAAUGUGGGCAGCUGUGCUACUACUAAUCUGUGUCAGCUGAAUAAUGAGAUUCUUCUGAAAGUUGGACAAUAAAGAAGUAUUGCAGAUUCACUCUGAGAGACAACAAAAAUCCACUCACACACAUCUAGAACCUACACUUUCAUCUUUUCACACCUUUGUGUCUAGAGAAAUAGAGAUGGACAAGAGAGGUGAGGUCUCUGCCCUUCCUGGGUUUAUAUUUUUGUCGGGAGAGGUGGACUCAAAUAAACAAAACAAAAAAAGUUAAAAAUGUGAUUGGAGAUUGUCAUUAGGACCAUAAAAUAAAAAAAACAGGCUGGUGCUGCUGACAAGUUGAACUUCAGGGAGAGCCUCUCUCUCUACGGCAGGACAGUUAUUCUGGGCUCUGACAGAGCAGGAAGCAACCAUGUGAAGAGUUGGGCAGGCUGUUCUAGGCAGAGAAGCAAAUGCAAAGAUCCUGAGGUAGAACAGAGCCGAGCACAUUGAAAGAAAAAGGAAGAAGUCAGUUUGGCUGAAGCAGAGUGGACGGUGGAGGUGGGGGAGGAGCCACAGGGCCCUGAUCAAAGAGGGCCUGUUGGUUUCCAUUCUAUUUGAAGACAGAGAAGGAAUCCAUGUUGCAUGCAAUUGAACGGUAUCAAGAGACUGACAUUUUCCUAAGACUGUGCGGUUUACUGUGUGGAGAUUAGAUUGGAUUAAGACAAGGCUAGAAACAGGAAGACCACUUAGGUGACCAGCACAGUCCCCUAGACAAGAUGGUGCCCAUGAGGAUGAAUGAAGGGGAUGCAUCCCAGGUCACGUCCUGAAGACGGAAUCGACAGGCAGUGCUCAUGGAUUCAAUGCUGUGGGUAGGAAAACUGAAGUCUUCAGCAUCAUUUCGCCUUCUUUUUGGCUGAUUAACUGGAUGGAUGGUAGUGCCAUUUAUCAAAAAGAGGAAGAUCAGAGGGAAAACAGGUUUGUGAGAGAACAUUAAGGAUUCUCUUUGGAUGUUUAUCACUGAGAUGCCUGUUCGACACAGACGUUGAAAUGUCAAGCAGGCCAUUGGAUAUAGUCUUUAGCACAGGAGGAAACCCAAUACAAAGUGGUGUUUGCUAUAGCACCGUCUCCUGUGUUAGGGUCCCUCCUUCCUCAGGCACCACUCUUUGCCGCAGGAGUUUCUAACUAACUUACCUUACCCUACUUCUUGGGGUGACCCAGCUUUGCUAGUUGGUGAGAGAAUAUCCCUGAGGGUUAAGAAAAUAUUUGGGGAGUUCCCGUCAUGGCGCAGUGGUUAACAAAUCCGACUAGGAACCAUGAGGUUGCGGGUUCGGUCCCUGCCCUUGCUCAGUGGGUUAAGGAUCCGGCGUUGCCGUG